UGGGGAAUCUUGGACAAUGGGCGCAAGCCUGAUCCAGCCAUGCCGCGUGGAUGAUGAAAGGCCUUAGGGUUGUAAAAUCCUUUCGCCGAGGACGAUAAUGACGGUACUCGGAGAAGAAGCUCCGGCUAACUUCGUGCCAGCAGCCGCGGUAAUACGAAGGGGGCUAGCGUUGUUCGGAUUUACUGGGCGUAAAGCGCGUGUAGGCGGGUUGGAAAGUUGGGGGUGAAAUCCCGAGGCUCAACCUCGGAACUGCCUCCAAAACUUCCAGCCUGGACUCAAGUAGAGGCAAGUGGAAUUGCGAGUGUAGAGGUGAAAUUCGUAGAUAUUCGCAGGAACACCGAUGGCGAAGGCAGCCCCCUGGGUUAACACUGACGCUCAUGCACGAAAGCGUGGGGAGCAAACAGGAUUAGAUACCCAUGUAGUCCCUGAGCGGGCUGGCAAGGCGCAU
rnacentral:rRNA from 1 species